ACGCUGCACGCAUGCCCGCUGACGUUGUCAGCGACAUGCCACGCAACCUCGGUCUUCAAGGUUGCGGCGCAGCUUUUGCUGCGUGACCGAGCCAGUUCGCUUCGCAUCCGUUCGCGAACAGCUAUCGGUUUGCCGGUAGUGGAUGC
rnacentral:ncRNA from 1 species